rnacentral:rRNA from 1 species
GAUGAACGCUGGCGGCGUGCUUAAUACAUGCAAGUCGAACGGUACUCGCAAGAGUAUAGUGGCGAACGGGUGAGUAACGCGUUGGUGACCUGCCCCGAAGAGAGGGAUAACAGAUCGAAAGGUCUGCUAAUACCGCAUGCUUUCACAAGGAUUAGAAGCUUGUGAAGAAAUGGCGAAAGUCGCUUCGGGAGGGACCUGCGUCCCAUCAGCUAGUUGGUGAGGUAACGGCCCACCAAGGCUAUGACGGGUAGGGGACCUGAGAGGGUGGCCCCCCACAAUGGAACUGAAACACGGUCCAUACACCUACGGGUGGCAGCAGUAGGGAAUAUUGGUUAAUGGGCGAAAGCCUGACCCAGCAACGCCGCGUGAGUGAUGAAGGCCUUCGGGUUGUAAAACGUCUUUUAUGGGGAUGAGGAAGGACAGUACUCAUAGAAUAAGUCUCGGCUAACUACGUGCCAGCAGCCGCGGUAAU